ACAAUUUACAAAUGCACAUGCAGUCGGGUCCGAUCCGACUAAUUUGGACGCUAAAACCCUAAACCCUAUCAACCUUGUCCAAUAUCCCCAAGAUCUUCUCUUUGCUCAAACUUUCUUACAAUUCUACAAUGGCGUCAAGGUGUAGUAGAAUUAUCAAUAGGGCUUCAAUUUCUUCUAUCAGAUCCGCCAUUAAAUCCAAUUCCCAAUCAGCUUCUUCUUCACAGUCGUUUCCCAGUUUCUCUGCCUCAACCAGAUCUACAUCGUCCCCUCUCCGUCGGUUCUCUUUUUCAAGAAUUCCGUCGGAACUGGGAGGGUUGCAGUCAAUGUUGCCGCUACACAACGCAGUUGCUACGGCGAGGAUGACGUCAUGCCUGAGCUCAACAUCGAGGAGUUGCAGAGCUCUUUCACAGGGUACUCUCUGCUGCACCUCUCCAGACCUCUAGCAUGUUCCAUUUAUAACUACCCCAAAUUAAAAUAAAAACAAGCACAUGAAUUUCCAAAAGCAUGAAAGAAAUAUACUGGGAUAUCACAGGCCUUUCUAUUUUGCUUAAAUAAUACUGAAGGAACGUGAAAUUUUUUGCUCUUCAGGAGGAGAGCUGGGUCUCUCGGUACCAAGGUGACUUUGUUUAGCAGAUUGUCAAAGAAAGUUGUCAACUCUUUGAAUGGGAAGGCAAGAUUUUGUCCUAGGAAAGACAUUUAUGUUUAAUGACUGCUCAAACUUUACAAAAGUGGUAAUAGUAUUUGAAUGUAUUGAAUUUUCAGCUGGUUUUGCUGUUAAUUCUGAUUUCUGAUUCCUUGAUUACUUGGAAUAUUACUAUGGAAUAAUCCUUAUUUCCUUCUUUCCUUUUUGGGCCAAUUUGUUAUACUGAGAAUGGAAGAGGUUGGAGUUUUAUAACGAUUAA